rnacentral:misc_RNA from 1 species
UUUCCGUAGGUGAACCUGCGGAAGGAUCAUUAUUGAACUGUCAACACGAGUUGUUGCUGGCCCUCAAAUGGGGGCAUGUGCACACUCUGUUUACAAAUCCACUCACACCUGUGCACCCUCUGUAGUUCUAUGGUGUGGAAGGACACUGUCCUCUGACCAUGGUUCUAUGUCUUUACACACACACACAGUGACAAAGUCUAAUGGGAUGUAUGUGGCGUUUAAUGCAAUAUAAUACAACUUUCAGCAACGGAUCUCUUGGCUCUC